rnacentral:lncRNA from 1 species
UUUUUUUUUUGGUGCACUGCACAGUGGAUAUUUCCAAAAAUAGGCCUUUGUGAAAUUGUGCAUAUGAUAAUAGGAUUAGAAAAAAGGUAAAUUUCUCUAAAUACUGAUAUUUGAUAGUUUUGCCUCUGCAUUCCAGUUGGAAGUUGAAAGUUUAGUGAUGUACACUCCAGGCUCUAGUUUUCUUAUGUGGUAAAGAUAUUAAAACCAAGAAACAGCAGUGGAGCUACAUGAAGACCCUGAGACUGUUGCUACAAUGGGCUUAAAUUCUGUUAAUUCUGCACAAACCUGAGCUCUUACACCAUGCAGAAGAGCUAAAACAAAGGAACAGAAUAUAAAGUUUCAAGUGGGAGAUGCCAUAUGUCUAUAGGGAGUACAGAAAGACAGUUUUUAUUAAAGCAUACUGUCAAAUAUAUGUUCUAUUAAGGAAAACAUACACUUAGUAGAGAAAAUAUAUCCCAUCUUUUUGGUUUUGUUUCAGUUUGGUGAUGGCAUGCUGAAUGACUGUGUAACACCCUCAGAAAGAAUUGAGAACUCGGUACCAAUUAUUAUAAAGCGAUCUAGUAAUUUACUCUAGCUAAUAGAUGCCCUCAAGAAGUGUACAUUUGUCUAUGAAUAUCAAUGUAUUACCUCUAUGAAAGCUCUUGUGAAAAUGUAAUGCCUAUGGCAUUUUUUUUACAGAUACGGAGGUGGGCCUAGAGCAGCUAAAUUACAGGCCAAUGGUCACGUAGGAAGUGCUUAGCAGAGCAGAGGUAAAGCACAGCUUUCUCUGAGGUCCAAAGGCAUUGCUUUCCUUGGCCACUGCCUUUCUCAGGAAUCAGUAACUGCAUUCCUAUUACCCUCAGAGAGGACAGGACUGAAUAAACUGGUAAUAACUGGCAGAGGCAGGAUUCCACAGGGUAAGUAGAUCGAGCCUCACACAGAUUCUAAAGGAUGAUGUUUUUACCACUACCAUCCUGAUCCUGGCCAUGUAGUUUCUGCUUGCUGUGCAAGGGGUCUGGUUUUUAUUGGAUCCUUUCUUGAGUCCUCUGAGCUCAUUAAUAUGGCAGAAAACAUACGCAGACAAAAUAAAAGCGGAUUGUUCUCUGCCAAGGAGCUGAAUUGACUCACUUGCUGUAAUGAGUGCCAGAGCUGGUGGAAAAGCAGAGCUUACCACAGCAAGGAGCAUGGGAAAGGUUAAGAAGAAGUAGGAGAUGAUGUGGAGGAGACUGAGGAAAGCAUGAAAUAUUCAGCAGCUGCAACCUCUUAGAUUGCCUCAGCUGCUGACAGACCUUCAGCCUCCAUAUCAUCAAAUCAAAUGUAUUUGGAAAUUCUGGAGAUGUUAAUGGCUGCAUUAUUAUCAUGAAGACUAGACUGUACUGUCUGCUUUUGAGAACAACUUUAAUACAUCAAUGUUUUCAAUUUUACAUCACAAAACAAGUGUAUCUCUUAAAACUGAUGGGAGACCUCAGCUACAUUUUGGUCUUCUGGAGAUUCUUUAUACUCCACUUAUACCAGAAGGCAAAAUGGGGUUAGUUACCUGCAGGUGGAGUUCUCAGGGACUUACAGGUAAUGUACAGACAGCCGCUGAGAGAGAUGUGUUUGCUUGACCCUGGGAAGAGAAAACCUAGGGGACAUCUUACUGCUGCCUAUAACUUUACCUUGUGGGAGAGUCUAGAGGAGAUGGAGCUCUUGGAAUAUCAGUGAGAAUCUUGUUGUAUGUAAAUCACCCACUUUUUGUAUGCUUUUGAUAUUAAUGCUGUUUUACCCGUUCAUUUUCUUAUCUCGUUGCUGUUCCUGGUAAAUCUAAACCUGUAAUCUCUGCAUUUUGUCUCUCUUGCUGGAGUGGGGGAGGGAAGUGUCUUGUGGUUUUCUUUACAGCGGGAAUACUAAAUUGAGGAAUAGUAUUCCAAACCCAUGACAGCUGGAAAAUACACUUCACCAAGGACACUGAAAUGAACACCAGUCUUGCCGAGCUUCAUAAAAGAUACCUUGCUGUGUUUUAUUGAGAAUUGAAUUGCAUUUGAAAUGAAUCUGGGAGAUAUUGCAUAUAUUUCUUUCCAUGAUUGCCAAAGCAGAACCUCAAGGCUGUGCUCAUGGAGAAAGAAAGAAACAACCCUGCUCUAGAAAGAAGAAACUCUCAGAUAUCAUCCACUAAAGUAAACUCCCAGCAGAACACAGAGAGGAAGAGAACUAAGCUAUCAAUGAAACUUCCCAAGAGAAAAAGGCUCUUUAGUAGUGGAGGAUAACUGAGGUAAACUCAAAAGUAUCCUGGAGAAAGUAUGAGAAAGCUGUGACAUAUCUAGUAGAUAUCAUUAAGGCAAAAAGCCCUAUCACCCAAAGAGAAAGUGGAUAUGUGGACUGAUCUUCAAAGACUGAAUUUGACAUUUUGAUGAUUUAUUGUUUGCUUUCUGAGCAUCUGCCGAGACCACAUAUUUUAGGCAAUACUUAGGAGAGCAGAUCUAAAGAAUGUGCUUUCCUGGUGCAGUGGUGGAGGAGCACAACACACAAAAAGAAGAUGCUUUUCUGAAACAGUGAGCAGUUCAGCUCUUCUUGCUCCAGUCCUGCAAGGUGAGGAUGAACUGCUGACCACACUGCCCUGACACACCAGGCCUGUGUCAGUGCUGGAAACCCAGGGCAAUGCUGGGGUUAACACCUGCCUCUGUCACACCCAGCUGGUUUACAGCCAAACCUGCUGGGCAGGAUGCUGGAGCUGAGGUAAAGAUAAAGGCUGUCUUUCCCUGGGAUGACCAUAAGGUAACACUUAGUAGGGAGCAUUGCAGGCAAGCUGAGUGGUCAUGUUUGCAUUCCUGAUUCUAAAGCACAGACACUGAUGCAGCAGGAGGUAUUUCUUACAGGCUUAUAUUUGCAGAUGGCUCCACCUCUUCUGCCAUUUAUGGCUAUUUCAAUAGUUUAUUGUGGAGUUCUAUACAUGGUCAAAUUAUGUUGAAUUUACAUACUGUCUGAAUGGUUCCUGCUUUUCUUUAAUGUACCUCAAAACAUAGUUUCCUGCCCGGGUUUCCUGAGGUGAGCUCCUGAUAACUGCAGCACAGGGCCCUUGACAUUUCAAUCUACCUAUCAGUGGUUUGAUAACAGAAUGUGUGUCAAUCUUCAUAUUGCAGCUCCUUGUUAUCAACUUCUAAUUGCAGUAAUGCUCUUGGUCCAUUAUCAGAAGAGCUUACUCAUAGCAUUUGGUUAUUUCCAGGUUAUAGCGCUCUUCUGCAGGAGCAGAAGCUUCUUAGGGGCAGACUUAGAGCUGGGGUGGAAACUGUUCCAGCUACCUUAUUUCUGACUCAUCCCUAGACUCAGCCUGAGGCAACACACUGCUCAGUGCUUCAUAUGCUAUGUAUGUAGUUCAUUCUUUCUGUUCUAUAUAAUUAUCUAGCUAACAAGCAAGACGCUACACAGUGAGGGCAACACAGCUAAAUGCUUCAAAAAUACUUUAGGAAAAUUCUUGCUCCCCCUGCAGUCAAAGGAAGCUUUUGCAGUGAAUUUAAGAAGGCAAGGAGAUGUGCUUGUCUCCUAUGGAUGUCCUAAAAUGGGCUUGAUGUGUGUAUUUGCUUCUCUUUAGCACUGCUUAUUUAAGAAAUAA